UGAAAGCAAAAAUGGCGGCACACAG
rnacentral:misc_RNA from 1 species